UAAUGGUGCCUCUAUUGGCUCCAAAUUUGAUUAACCAAUGAAAUUCAAUUCUGUCUGUAUCGGUCCUUCUACCUCAUGAACUUCAUCAAGUUUAAUUUUACAGGCAUUAGUUUCUUCACCAAGAAAUUUUUUUUCUAAAAAGACUAUCCGUCUACUGACAAACACCUUUUGUUCUGCAGUGAGGUAGAAGUAGUAUCCUUUAGUUUUC
rnacentral:lncRNA from 1 species